UACGUAGGGUGCGAGCGUUGUCCGGAAUUAUUGGGCGUAAAGAGCUUGUAGGCGGUUUGUCGCGUCUGCUGUGAAAUUUCGGGGCUCAACCCCGAACUUGCAGUGGGUACGGGCAGACUAGAGUGUGGUAGGGGAGACUGGAAUUCCUGGUGUAGCGGUGAAAUGCGCAGAUAUCAGGAGGAACACCGAUGGCGAAGGCGGGUCUCUGGGCCACUACUGACGCUGAGAAGCGAAAGCAUGGGGAGCGAACAGG
rnacentral:rRNA from 1 species